rfam:TPA: Bos taurus chromosome 3, whole genome shotgun sequence.
UCCCUGGUAACUCAGUGGUAAAGAAUCGGCCUGCAAUGCAGGAGACCCAGGUUCAAUCCCUGGGUUGGGAA